CUCGAAAAUGAGAAAAGGGCUGGUUUUAGGGCGGCUCGGCUCGGCUCGAAAGAGGAUCAGUGUAUUCCUCCCGCUCAAAAUUUUUUCUCUCUCCUCACUUAAAUGGGCGGAUUCUCUCUCUCCUCUCCUCGUAAAAGAAAAAAAAACGCUCACAGCCUCUGUUUCCUUCUCCGCGCAUCCCACCUCCUCCGCCUCCGUCUCCGGCUCUCGCUCCGGCUUCGGACCUCUGCCUCGGCCUGCACCUGCCCAAAAGCGUCGCUGGCCAUCUGCCUCUGGCAUCUCGGUCUCGUUCCCGAGCGGCAUCAGGCUCCCCGCCGCUGACCGGGCGUUGUCCCUGACGCUGGCCCGCUCGGUCGCGAGGGAGAUCUCGGCGAACUUGGGCGGGGUCGACGGCGCGGCGAAGAAGGAGAGGCGCGGGCUGGAGAAGGAUUCCCGCCGGCCUCUGCCGCGAAGCCAUCGGCCUCCGGCAAGAGGGAGGCGGCCUCGGUCUCGUUCCCGAGCGGCACCAGGCUCCCUGCCGCUGACUGGCCGUUGUUCCUGACGCUGGCCCGCUCGGUCACGAGGGAGAUCUCGGCGGACCUGGGUGGGGUCGACGGCACGGAGAAGAAGGAGAGGCGCGGGCUGGAGAAGGAUUGCCGCUUGCUGUGGAGGAGGUACGUGAACCGACUGUACCAGCACCGGGAGCUAGGGCUUUUCCUGGACGUGAGCCGGAUCGGCUUCACGGACGAGUUCAUGGAGGAGAUGGAGCCCCAGUUCCAGGCCGUGUUCAAGGAGAUGGAGGAGCUGGAGAAGGGUGCGAUGGCGAACCCGGACGAGGGCCCAUGGUCGGGCACCACUGGUUGAGGAAGUCGGACCUCGCGCCAACUGGAUCCUGAAGGUGCAGAUUGAGAGCACGCUCGACGCCGUCUGUAAUUUCGCUGCCGACGUGGUCAGCGGUAAGGAUUGGGGAGUUCGUUGCCAUGGUUCUUGUUCUCUGGUCGCCUGUUGUUGUUCCUCUAUUUCCAACACUUGUGCAGAGCUGGAUGUCGCAUAGCUCCUCCGGAAUUGCUGAUUUUGCUUGCAUUUUUGGCCUUUACAUUGCUCUUACGAUACUUGUUAUGUUAUGGGGCAAGCGGAUCGGUGGGUAUGAAUAUCCCCUUAAGCAAUAUGGGCUGGAUUUGAUGUCAAUGCAGAAGAUUCAGUGAUGACCCUGCGUUAGAGAAGAAAGUACUACCACAAUAUGAUGAUCCGGCUCAAGAUGAGGAGUAACUCUUGACUCAAGUGGAUGUUUGACCUAUGAAGCUGAAAGGAAAUUGGAAGAGCUAAGAAGGAGGCUACAGGGUGCUUCUUCAAAUAGUCAUUGUAAAGAUCUCACCUCAUCUGCCAAGACCUCGUCCAAUUAAUACACUCAAUAAGAAUUGCUUCGAUUCAGAAAGCCCAAGAAAAAGAAAUCCUUACGGAAGAAAGAGAAGUUGGACUUAGAUGCCCUUGAAGUGGAAGCAGUUUCAGCACGGUUGGGUGUUGGAGAUCUUGGAUCACGUAAGGAUGGGAGGAGGCAGGCUAGCAGAGAGGAACAAGAGAAAAUUGAGGCUGGGAUGAGAAAGAAUGCCUACCAAUUGGCCUAUGCUAAAGCAGAGGAGGCAUCUAGGUUACUGCGGGUGGAGCAAACUCUUCCUGUUAAGACGGAGAAUGACGAAAACAUGGUCGUUGCUGAUGACGAUGAAGAUCUUUAUAAAUCUUUAGAGAGAGCCAGGAAAUUGGCUCUAAAGAAGCAAGAAGAGGAGGGGGCUUCUGGUCCUAAAGAGAUAGCUCUUCAUGCCAGUAGUAUUCCCAGUGCACACAAUGCAGAAAAUCAGAGUGUUGUGAUUGGAGAAUCACAGGAAAGCAGGGUUGUCAUGACAGAAAUAGAAGGUUUUGUUUCAGGCCUCGAGGUUGAUGAAGUUUCUCAUAAACCUGACACAGAAGAUGUCUUCAUGGAUGAAGACGAAGCAGAUAAUGAAGUAUAAGAUGAGCCUGGACGCUGGACAGAAUUUAAAGAAUUUGGUAAUGAUGAAGGUCCUGUUAAUGAGGGUGAGGAGGAAGUUGUUCUGGAUGAGACAAUUCAUGAAGCUGCAGUGGGGUUAGGGCUGUCGGGUGCCCUAAAGCUGCUCAAGGAAUGGGGAACACUUAAAGAAACUGUUGAGUGGGGUGGUAGAAACAUGGAUAAGUAGAAAAGCAAGCUCGUAGGCACUGUGCUCUGCUCAGUAUUUGGAGUUCUUGCAGUUUGUCAGAUGCCAAGAGGUAAGUGACGAGGGACUGCAGCAUGUUAUCCACUUUCCUUCUUUGCGGACCUUGCGAUUGGUAAAGUGCCUAGGAGUCACCGAUGAUGGCCUGAAGCCACUUGUGGGAUCACAAAAGUUAGAGUUGCUUGUGGUGGAAGAUUGUCCUCAGAUUUCAGAAAGGGGCCUUCAAGGUGCUGCAGAAUCUGUUUCUUUCAGGCAAGACUUGUCAUGGAUGUAUUGAAGCCAUAAGGGCACCCAUUCCAUCCUUGUGUCUAUUGGAUUUAGUAAAAAUAUGUUUUCUUGUAGUUGUUCAAUAGAUUUUUAUAUGAUUCAAAAAAUCGUGCUGUUUGUGGUUAGAGGAAAAACAAUUGUGCUGUCAUCAGUUGCUGGACUGGUGUUGUAUGUCCAUGCCAAGGCAUAUAUGCCUUGCCUUCUUUUUCGUUGCUUAAGCAAAGCCCCUGUUGAUGAUGU